UUCUGAAUGACUGAGUUUAAGUGUUAGACUUUUAAUCUAAAAACGGCUACAAUCAAGCCUUCAGAAA
rnacentral:tRNA from 1 species